rnacentral:rRNA from 1 species
CUACGGGUUGCAGCAGUGAGGAAUAUUGCACAAUGGGGGGAACCCUGAUGCAGCAACGCCGCGUGGAGGAUGACGCAUUUCGGUGUGUAAACUCCUUUUAUAUGUCAAGAAAAUGACGGUAGCAUAUGAAUAAGCACCGGCUAACUCCGUGCCAGCAGCCGCGGUAAUACGGAGGGUACAAGCGUUACUCGGAAUCACUGGGCGUAAAGGACGCGUAGGCGGGUUGGAAAGUCAGGUGUGAAAUCCUACAGCUUAACUGUAGAACUGCACUUGAAACUUCUAAUCUAGAGUAUGGGAGGGGGAGAUGGAAUUAGUGGUGUAGGGGUAAAAUCCGUAGAUAUCACUAGGAAUACCUAAAGCGAAGGCGAUCUCCUGGAACAUUACUGACGCUAAGGCGCGAAAGCGUGGGGAGCAAACAGGAUUAGAUACCCUGGUAGUC